CUGAAACAGGUUUCAAUGAUGUUAAUCUAUGGUUAGAAUGGAUAAAGAAUGGUGGGGGGAGUGUACUCUGGCUAAAGCAAUCAUGCCCAUACAUAUUAUCUCUGACACACACCCCGAUACUCAUGAGUCCAAACACUCACCAACCAAGGUAAAGCGUGAAGCCCCAGUAAAAGGCAGUUUUGACCCUCAUAUUUACAUUGAUGCCAUUGGGGUACCUAGGGGGGUGCCCAAUGAGUUUAAAG